AGUAGAAUCGACGGGUGAGUAAUGCGUAGGAAUCUACCUAGUAGUACGGAAUAGCCAUUAGAAAUGGUGGGUAAUACUGUAUAAUCCCCGAGGGGGAAAGAUUUAUCGCUAUUAGAUGAGCCUACGUUAGAUUAGCUAGUUGGUGAGGUAAUGGCUUACCAAGGCUAUGAUCUAUAGCUGGUCUGAGAGGACGAUCAGCCACCCUGGAACUGAGAUACGGUCCGGACUCCUACGGGAGGCAGCAGUGGGGAAUAUUGGACAAUGGGCGAAAGCCUGAUCCAGCUAUGCCGCGUGAGUGAAGAAGGCCUUCGGGUUGUAAAACUCUUUCAAUAGGGAAGAUAAUGACGGUACCUAUAA
rnacentral:rRNA from 1 species